UUUUUCUCCUGUAAACGGGUGGUAAUGCCGGAUGCUCCGACUCCUCGCAUGGGGUGUCGGGAAAGAUUUCAUCGGUAUGGGAUGGGGUCGCGUCCUAUCAGGUAGUCGGCGGGGUAACGGCCCACCGAGCCUACGACGGGUAGCCGGCCUGAGAGGGCGACCGGCCACAUUGGGACUGAGAUACGGCCCAGACUCCUACGGGAGGCAGCAGUGGGGAAUAUUGCACAAUGGGCGCAAGCCUGAUGCAGCGACGCCGCGUGCGGGAUGACGGCCUUCGGGUUGUAAACCGCUUUUGAUCGGGAGCAAGCCUUCGGGUGAGUGUACCUUUCGAAUAAGCACCGGCUAACUACGUGCCAGCAGCCGCGGUAAUACGUAGGGUGCAAGCGUUAUCCGGAAUUAUUGGGCGUAAAGGGCUCGUAGGCGGUUCGUCGCGUCCGGUGUGAAAGUCCAUCGCUUAACGGUGGAUCUGCGCCGGGUACGGGCGGGCUGGAGUGCGGUAGGGGAGACUGGAAUUCCCGGUGUAACGGUGGAAUGUGUAGAUAUCGAAAA
rnacentral:rRNA from 1 species